CAUGAAUAUUACUAUUUAAGGCUGAACGUUGUCCAGGUAAUACUGCCUGCAUAUGCAUAAUCGUCAAUUAUCUCAGAAUUUGUGAAUGAGUUAAACAUUCAGCAAAUAUCACCACUUUCGAUUUUAUUAAGGAGCAAAGCACGAGGAAAUGAGCCUUUUGCAUCUUACUGAAAAACACACUGACCAAUAUGACAUCAGAAAUACAGAUGAAUGGUCGAAUUUGGGAGAGAUGACGGGAAUGAGGGAAGAAUAAAAUAGGGUUCUUUUGAAGACCCUGACCUGGAGUUACACGCUGACUACAGUUCUUUGCGGGAAUGGGACCUGCUCUCGGGGUUUCACGACUGGCCA